CCGGGAAACUCUCUCCAGAUAGUUGGAAGAAAAGAAAAUUGAAAGGAAGAUGCUAAAAAAGAAGAAUUUCCGUAAGAGAACUAUCGAGGAAGCAGACGACCAGAACAACGACGACGACGACAACAACAACAACAACAACAACAACAACGCCGCAUCCGAUGACGAAGAAGAGAGGAGAUUGGCAUUGGAGGAAGUCAAAUUCCUGCAGAAACAGAGGGAAAGGAAGUCAGGAAUCCCUGCAAUUCCAUCGGUGCAAAUUGGGAAUUUAGUAUCCAAAAAAGUGACUGAAAAGAACGAUGGAGAUGGGGAGAAGGAAGAGCUCGUUCUUCAAGAUACUUUUGCUCAAGAAACAGCAGUCAUGGUUGAAGAUCCCAACAUGUUGAAGUAUGUUGAACAAGAAUUGGCAAAGAAAAGGGGGAAGAACAUUGAUGAAACAAAUCAAGUUGAAAAUGACUUAAAACGUGCUGAAGAUGAAUUAUACAAAAUUCCUGAACAUCUUAAGGUGAAAAGGAGAAACUCAGAAGAAAGCUCUACUCAGUGGACUACUGGCAUUGCAGAGGUUCAACUGCCCAUUGAGUACAAACUGAGAAAUAUUGAGGAAACAGAGGCUGCCAAGAAACUUUUACAGGAGAAACGGCUAAUGGGUCAGGCAAAAUCAGAGUUUAGCAUCCCAUCAAGUUACAGUGCAGAUUAUUUCCAACGUGGCAGGGAUUAUGCUGAGAAACUUCGAAGAGAACAUCCUGAGCUAUACAAGGACAGAAGUUCACAAGAUGAUGGUGCUGGAGCAAAGCCAGCUGAAAAUAACGCUGAUGCAACCCGUAGAGAAGCUGCAACAGAUGAGUUCAUGCUAGAGCGUUUCCGAAAGCGAGAACGGCAUCGGGUCAUGCGGAGAUGACCUGCGCUCUGUCAAGCAUGAUUUUCAUGGUAGUUUAUCAAGCUUUGUGGUGCGCUAGAGUGUAUUAGUUUGUAAAAACAAGUACUGUAGCCAUAGCGACCAUUCUUGUGAUUCAAUUUAUCUGCAAUUUUUAAUGGAUGUUUUGUGUUUGAGCAGACAAACACAA
rnacentral:misc_RNA from 1 species